rnacentral:rRNA from 1 species
AAUGAACGCUGGCGGCAUGCCUAACACAUGCAAGUCGAACGAGACCUUCGGGUCUAGUGGCGCACGGGUGCGUAACGCGUGGGAACCUGCCCUUAGGUUCGGACUAACUCCCCGAAAGGGGUGCUAAUACCGGAUAAUGUCUUCGGACCAAAGAUUUAUCGCCUUUGGAUGGGCCCACGUUGGAUUAGCUAGUUGGUAGGGUAAAAGCCUACCACGGUGACGAUCCGUAGCUGGUUUGAGAGGGUGAUCACCUACACUGGGAUAGAGACACGGCCCAGACACUGGCGCGAGGACGCAGUGCGGACUCCUACGCGAGGCAGGAGUGGGGAAUCUAGGACAGUGGGGGGAGGCAUGAAGCAGCAAGGGCUGGUAAGUGAUGUAGGCCGUAAAGUAGUAAAGCUCUUUUACCCGGGAUGAUAAUGACGGUACCGGAAGAAUAAGCACCGGCUAACUACGUG